rnacentral:rRNA from 1 species
GGCUUAUUGAUAAUAAUUUUAGGUCAAUCUGCCCAAUGAUUUAAAUUUAAUGGCUGCAGUAUAACUAACUGUACAAAGGUAGCAUAAUCAAUUGUUUUUUAAUUGAAAACUGGGAUGAAAGAAUUAAUGAGAUAUAUUCUGUCUCAUAUAUAUGUUAUGAAAUUAAAUUUUUAGUAAGAAUGCUGAAAUUUAUUUAUGGGACGAUAAGACCCUAUAGAAUUUUAUAUUUAUUUUUAAAUUUUAUUUAAUUUAGGAAUAAAUAUUUAGUUGGGAGGACUGAUAAAUUUAAAUAACUUUACUUUAAAUAUAUACUUUAAUUAAAGAAUAAUUUUAGGUCUUUUAUUAAAAAUUAGAAGAAAAAAUUACCUUAGGGAUAACAGCGUAAUAUCUUUUUAAAGGCCAAAUUAAAAAAGAUGAUUGCGACCUCGAUGUUGAAUUAAGAUAAAUUUUAAAUGAAGAAGUUUAAUAAUUAAGUCUGUUCGACUUUUAAAAUCUUACAUGAUUUGAGUUCAAAUCGACGUGAGU